rnacentral:rRNA from 1 species
CGCUGGCGGCGUGCUUAACACAUGCAAGUCGAACGGUGACCCAGGGCUUGCCCUGGUGAUCAGUGGCGAACGGGUGAGUAACACGUGGGCAACCUGCCCCUGACUUCGGGAUAACUCCUCGAAAGAGGAGCUAAUACCGGAUACGACCACUUCGGACAUCCGAUGGUGGUGGAAAGUUUUUCGGUCAGGGAUGGGCCCGCGGCCUAUCAGCUAGUUGGUGGGGUAAUGGCCUACCAAGGCGACGACGGGUAGCCGGCCUGAGAGGCGACCGGCCACACUGGGACUGAGACACGGCCCAGACUCCUACGGGAGGCAGCAGUGGGGAAUAUUGCGCAAUGGGCGAAAGCCUGACGCAGCGACGCCGCGUGAGGGAUGAAGGCCUUCGGGUUGCAAACCUCUUUCAGCAGGGACGAAGCGAAAGUGACGGUACCUGCAGAAGAAGCACCGGCUAACUACGUG